UGGAUGGGGAGUGCGGGGCCGCGGCUGAGCGCAGCCCGCUUUGCCGUGCAGGGCGGAGCUGCUGGCGGUGCGGGACGCGGUGGGCGCCGCUGUGGCCUCCGCGCUGCGGCUGUACGAGGAGCGGGCGGCGGAACUGGGCCUGGAGGCGGCCCUGCGGCGGGGGCCGCGCUGCCCAUCGCUGGCCGACGCGCUGGAGGGGCUGCAGGACGUGGAGCGCCACUACCGACACCUGUACCUAGAGAUCCAGCUCUUCCUCCUCCGCAUCAGCUGUGACAGCCUGGCAGACAUGGAGACCCUCCCGCAGGCCUGGGAGAAGAUGCUGGAGCGCUACAAGGAAGACGUUGUCCAAGGUGGUUCCGCUUUCAGCAGCCCAAGGGACCCUUCCUUGAGCUCCGUGGUGAUGGCUCAGCCCUGGAGAUCCCACGCAGGCCUUGCACUGUGUGUUGGUGUUGAUCUUGGUGGCAGUGGGUGACCCCGCUUGGUUUGCAGUUGGGCUUUGCGACCAUGAACAGCUUCAGUUGUAAAUACCAUCACACCCUGGUGCAGCGGGAAGUGAUGCCCUUCCUUGCAGUGAAACAAGGGGUUUGGAGAGCCAUUGCACUUGGUCUGCUAAGUUAGUUGUCCUUAAGCUUUUCUUUAUUACUAUUAGAAACAAGGUUGAUUUUUGUGCAUACAGAAUACAAAGUGCAUUAAUCUAAUGGGGUUGUUUUCUUCCUUCCAACUCAGAUACUCUUCUGAAGAUCUCUCUGUUUGUGGACAACCAUCAAGAGCUGUGCAGCUCAGCAGGCUCCUGACACAGGAGGGGCUGAUGUGGACCAGCUUCUGUGACACUCUGGUGUGCUCCAAGACAACCUUGAAGAGCAGGAGGAUGAACUGAGGAAGCUUCACUGGUGCUUUUUGGAGGCUGAAUGAGCUGGGGACCUGGCCUGAGCAGGAGAUGCUUGGGCUGUUCUGUUUUCAAGUGGAAACGGACUUGAUAUCUGCCAAUAAAUGGGCAUAACAUAAUGUCCUGAUACCA
rnacentral:lncRNA from 14 species